AUUGAACGCUGGCGGCAUGCUUUACACAUGCAAGUCGAACGGUAACAGGUUAAGCUGACGAGUGGCGAACGGGUGAGUAAUGCAUCGGAACGUGCCCGAUCGUGGGGGAUAACGCAGCGAAAGCUGCGCUAAUACCGCAUACGAUCUGAGGAUGAAAGCGGGGGACCGUAAGGCCUCGCGCGAUCGGAGCGGCCGAUGUCAGGUUAGGUAGUGGGUGGGGUAAAGGCUCACAAAGCCAACGAUCUGUAGCUGGUCUGAGAGGACGACCAGCCCCACUGGAACUGAGACACGGCCCAGACUCCUACGGGAGGCAGCAGUGGGGAAUUUUGGACAAUGGGCGAAAGCCUGAUCCAGCAAUGCCGCGUGCAGGAAGAAGGCCUUCGGGUUGUAAACUGCUUUUGUACGGAGCGAAAAGGCCCUCUCUAAUACAGUGGGCUCAUGACGGUACCGUAAGAAUAAGCACCGGCUAACUACGUGCCAGCCGCCGCCGUAA
rnacentral:rRNA from 1 species